AGCUAGCAGGCCUUGUAAGUCGCUCUGGGUAAGAGCGUCUGCUAAAUGACUUAAA
rfam:Salmo salar isolate Sally breed double haploid chromosome ssa16, whole genome shotgun sequence.